rnacentral:rRNA from 1 species
AUGGGGAGCCGGAGGGAGGAGGAGAGGAACGAGAAGAUCAUCCGCGGCCUCAUGAAGCUGCCGCCCAACCGCAAGUGCAUCAACUGCAACAGUGUGGGGCCACAAUAUGUAUGCACCAAUUUCUGGACCUUUACAUGCUUGUCAUGUAGUGGGAUACACCGUGAGUUCACUCACCGUGUUAAAUCAGUGUCAAUGUCUAAAUUCACUACCCAAGAAGUGCGGGCUCUUGAACAGGGUGGUAACCAGCGAGCACGUGAUAUCUACCUAAAAGAUUGGGAUUGGCAGCGAAUGAGAUUGCCUGACAACAGCAAACCAGAUAGGAUAAGGGAAUUUAUCAGAACUGUUUAUGUAGACAAGAAGUAUGCUGGUGCGAAGUCCACCGACAAACCAGCCACUGAUAGUGAGAGUGUAAAGGGCAAUGAAAGUGAAACAAGAAGACCUGACUCCUAUCAUUCAUACUCGCAAAGCCCACCUUAUGAUUUUCAGUAUGAGGAUAGACGAUAUGGUAAGCAAGUUAACACGCUUGCUCGGAGGCCUUCGGAUAGGGCACUCUUUGAUGGGAAACUCGGCAGCCUAUUGUACAGUCCUGGUCGUUCCAAGGAUCAGAUGCAUGAAGAUCGAUUUGCUAAUGAGAGUCACGGAUCAAGAUUUUCUGACUUUUCAGCCUCAAGCACCAGUGACUUUAGAAACGAUGUGCUUUCUCCUAGCUCUCAGGAUACAGGGUACAGCAGCCCUUCUGUUCACCAUUCAAGAAAUGUAUCAGCUGAAAAUCCUCAAUCCCAAAGACAUCCAAAUGCAGUUUCACAAAUAGACUCUAAUGGAGGUCGUCGUUCACAGCGAACAGCUUCUUCUGGGAGUUUUGGAUCGUUUGAUGGUAGCUCACCAUCUAAUAAAUCAGUUGAUUCAGGUGUCCUACCUGAUGCAUCUACAGAAAGGCCAGUGCCCUCUGCUGCAAACCGUCAGAGUGGGGCAUCUUCUGUAGCUCAUUCUACACAACCGUAUGCCUUGCAGCAGAGUGCGAAUUCUUCAGCCAGCCAAAUUGCCCCCCAAGAAUCUCUGCGGCAUUUGCCUGUUUCAGCCCAAUCACAACCACAACCAACGGCUUUCACUAAUCAAGACCUCUUUGACAUGUCAACAUUGCCGCAACCCGUUGUUUAUGCUCCACCAAUAGAUUUGUUUGCCGGCUUUAAUCAACAGACUGCAUCAGUUCCUAAUGGUCAUUCGGAUGUUGUUAAAGAAGCUGUGCAUAAUGCUGUGGUUCAGAAGGUUGUCACGACUUCAUCGUCUGUAUCAGCAGAAGCAGUCCCCACAUCUCAUCCUGUGCACCAAGAUCUCUUCAGUCUGUCAAUAGCGCAGGACCCAGCAACUUCCUCUUCCCCUCCGUCAGUGGAUCUGUUUGCUGGCUUUGACCAACAGCUGCCACCUACGUCUAGUGUUCAUCAUAUUACACCAGCAGCUCCAUUGCCUGCUAAUGAAGGGUGGGCAUUCUUCGACACACCUCAAUAUGGUUCGUCAACUUCUGUUUCAAAUGUGCAAGCUCAGGUGCCUGCUGCAUUGCCAAGUGUUGUUGCCAAAGCAAUUGAUCGAUCAACAUUGCCAAAUUCACCACCAAGUGCCAUCAUGUCGCAAACAUCUCCGCCUACUAUGGACCAGUGGAGUUUAAAUGCUGAAGAGGUGAAAAUCCCUGUCUCCAAGGAAAACUCCCAGGACUGGAAUGCCUUUGGUGAAUCCACUGGGAACAUGCCUAAUAAUGUGUUUGCAUUCAAUGAUAUGCCUCAAGUAGCACCUCAUCAAUUUGCCAUACCCAGUGUUCCAUACAUGGAAUCCAGAACUUCGCAGGACUUGGUUAGGGGUGAGCCUGAAAGGUCAACUCCUGGGGAUAUAUUCCCUGGCUUCAAUGUCUCUCCUGGUGUCCUGGCUGAGCCAUCAUUUCCUGCACCACUUCAACCCCAACUGGGCAUGGUGUCUCAUGCUGGAAAAUCAACAAAUCCGUUUGACAUGGCAUUUGAGUCUGAUGUUGAAGCCAUCGACAUGUUUAUGGAUUUGACCUCACUACAAGCAACAUUGCCGGAUACUCAUCUUCCCGCAGAAUACUCCAUCAACUUAGCAGAGCCAUGGAUGUCUCAGAAUUCUACCGUGCCAUAUAUUCCUUCUGCAUCUCAGGGAGGGUUGUCGUACAUCCCGGGGCAAGUACAAGACUCCCAUAUGCUGAACUCAGCACAGCAAGGACAGUUUCCACCAAGAAAUCCAUUUGAUGAAUGA